rnacentral:rRNA from 1 species
AUGGGAGCUUGCUCCCUGAUGUUAGCGGCGGACGGGUGAGUAACACGUGGGUAACCUGCCUGUAAGACUGGGAUAACUCCGGGAAACCGGGGCUAAUACCGGAUGGUUGUUUGAACCGCAUGGUUCAGACAUAAAAGGUGGCUUCGGCUACCACUUACAGAUGGACCCGCGGCGCAUUAGCUAGUUGGUGAGGUAACGGCUCACCAAGGCGACGAUGCGUAGCCGACCUGAGAGGGUGAUCGGCCACACUGGGACUGAGACACGGCCCAGACUCCUACGGGAGGCAGCAGUAGGGAAUCUUCCGCAAUGGACGAAAGUCUGACGGAGCAACGCCGCGUGAGUGAUGAAGGUUUUCGGAUCGUAAAGCUCUGUUGUUAGGGAAGAACAAGUGCCGUUCAAAUAGGGCGGCACCUUGACGGUACCUAACCAGAAAGCCACGGCUAACUACGUGCCAGCAGCCGCGGUAAUACGUAGGUGGCAAGCGUUGUCCGGAAUUAUUGGGCGUAAAGGGCUCGCAGGCGGUUUCUUAAGUCUGAUGUGAAAGCCCCCGGCUCAACCGGGGAGGGUCAUUGGAAACUGGGGAACUUGAGUGCAGAAGAGGAGAGUG